CCACUCCAGGUGUUAGAGUUAAGGCUGCACAGGCUUAACUGUAACACCUGGAGUGAGUGCUGAGUGCUUUAAUUGCUGCUGUGAGUUCCAAAGAUGAACUCACAGCAGCAGUUAAAGCACAACAGG
rnacentral:snoRNA from 1 species